rnacentral:lncRNA from 1 species
AGGUGCUAGAGGUAGGAGCAGGGGUACACGGGUAUCUCAGAGGAGGGUCCUGCUUUCAGGGGAGUGUCGUGAAAGAGGAAAAUAACAGAGUCUUGCGGAGAGACCUCAAUUCUAGUGUGAGACAAGCUCUAGCUGGAGCAUGACCUUGGGCACGUUACUUCUCCCAAACUCUGGAACUCUGCAGAUGUAAAGUAGGAAUGAUUCAUAUUGAUCUCACAGGCUGUCCUAGGAAUUAAAUGAAAAUGGUUUUAUUUUUUUUUCAUUUUUUCAAGUUUAUUGAAGUAGCGUUUACAAGGUUGUGAUCAUUUUUUGCUGUACAACAGAGUGACUCAGUUCUAUGUGUACACACACACCCAUUCUUGCUGUGAGAUUCUGUUCCUGUAUUACAUAGAUCAUCAUAGACUAUUGGGAAGAGCUCCCUGUGCGCUACAGCAGACCCCCAGGGGCCAGUCAUUCCUUAUACCUCAGUGUGCACGGGCCAGCCCCAAACCACAUGCUCAGAAAGUGCGCUCAUCAUCGGUUCCUCAUCAUCGGGGGAGGUAAGGGAAAGACUGUCCCCCCCAGUAUCCCUGGAGGCAGGAGAAAAGUGGUGGAGGGAGGAGGUGUUCGAGGAAGCCCAGGGACCGCCGCGUCCCAGCUUCUUCGCGCUGCUGGUCUGUAGACAGGAAAGCCGACCUGAGGGUGGCUGCUAUUAGGGACAGAGGAUUCGUGUUCCCCCAGAUUUCAUAUGUUGAAGCCUCAUCCUCUAUGCGACCAUGUUUGGAGGUAGCGCCUUUGGAGGUCUUGGGUUUAGAGGAGGUCCUGAGAGGGGGGUCCUCACGACGGGAGCAUAAGAAGAGACCAGAAGGCUCGCUCCCUGUCUCUUCCCGCAGUCCGAAGGGCGCUGUCUGCAAGCCUGGACGGGGGUUCUCACCAGGAGCGGAAUCAGCUGGCACCUUGAACGUGUGGCCGUGAGGAUGCCUCUGUGCCAAGGCUGUGCUGACUCGACUCUGUUGUCACCUGCCUGGAAAGCAUCACCAAUGGCCGGGGCCCUGGUGCUUUCAGACCUGC